CAAACAUGGGUCUGGAAAAACAAACAGGUUAGGACAUCGCUGGUUCCCCAGAAAUCUGCCAAAGUCAAUGCUGUUGGGGGCAGUGGAGUGGGGGUGGGGAGAUGCUCCCAUGUCGGCCUGGGAUGUGGUAACAGCAGCAAAGAGAGGAGACAAAUGAGGGGAUGAGGCAGCACGAGGAGAGGGGGGCCAGUGCAGCCAGCCUUGGGGGCUCUGAGAGGGGAAAGUGGGGCUACGCAGCAAUUUGAUAAAAUCCUCUAAUGUCGAGGAGAAUUAUCUCUUCCUGAGGGGAGAACAAGGCCUGGAGACGGAGCAAAGGAAAAUGAUCUAGAGUGAGGAGGGAGAGGCAUGGGAUGCCAAGAUCUUGGGUGCCUGGACACAGAGUGACAAGAAGACACCAUCUGCCCUAAAGGAGCUCACCUUGAUUCAUUUAGUCCAGCAACAUAUGAUCAGCCAAGAACUAUAAGUUAUUGUGCAAAAUUAUUGUAACAUUUGUUCUGUGGACAAAGAUUGGGAUUUAUUUCUCCAGUGUAAAACAUCAAUCAAUGGACUACAAAUUACCGUUGUGCAAGGACCUUCAGGUUUCUUGGGAAGAACUGGGUUCUGAGAGAUUUCAACAGCUGCAGUGAGAAGCCAGGUCUAUCCUCUGACAUACCUCAAAGUCUGAGCGUCCACAGCUGUGGUCAGCACCCUUCACAUUCUCAGUGAAGGCCACUAAGGUAUAGUCCACAUGGGGCAGAAUGGUGUGAACUCUGGCUCAGGUCCCAUCUUCAGAACUGCUUGACAGCAGGAACAUGGGAGUCACUUCCUUCUUCUUGAGUUCCCCCGCCCUGUUACAUGCCCCGUGAGCAUCACGUGGCUCUUCCAUUGCUACUCUGACAUUGUCCUCUGGUCAUGGUUGCUGCUCUUAUGAUUGCCUUAUGUGAUCAUCUGGAGCAAAUUAUAUUUUCCAAAAUGUCUACAGUAAUAUUUGCAGAUCUACAUACUCUUUCAAAACCUCAAAGAUUCUUUCAUCAAAAGCUUUGGUCUAAUUCCUCUCCCCUGGAAUAUGGAUGAGCAUUGGUGGCUGCCUCCUUGAAUAGAAUGUAGUGGAAAUGAUGCUGCAUGAAUUAUGAGGCUAAAUCAAAAAAAGAAAUAAGGCCUUUACCAUGUUCUCUUUCUUUUGGUACAUGUGUCUUGGGAGCCCUGAGCCAACAUGUAGGAAGUCCAGCUGUGCUGAAGCUGCCCUGCAGCAGGACCACAGGCAUGAAGGUUCCCAAGGCGCCCCACCAUUCCAGCCGCCAGCUGCUUGUGCUUUCCCUUGAUCAGCUGCCACACACGGGAGUAGAGAGCCCUCAGAUGACUCAGUCCCCAGCCUCUGAGCUGUCCAAGCUGACGCCACAUGCAGCCAAGGAGCUGUCCUCAAGCCCAGCCCAUACUACCGAUGUGUGAGAAAAAUUACUGUUCUGGCUGUUUUAAGCCACUACGCUGUGGGGUAAUUCAUUACACAGCAACAGUAACUGGGUCAUCACCCUCAUGCAUCAUCAGGCUGCUCACCUCGCUUCUGUGAGACCCUAGCUUCUCUUUUGUAUCGGUUGCUGAGCAGAAUACAGGGAAGCUCCCUGCUCCCACCACUGUCAAAAUUCGCUUACCAAACCACAAAACAUGGAAGCAUUUACCUCUUAAAAUUUGAAGACUUGUAGUUUCUCAUAAUGGCCCCAACAGUAUAAAGCCUUAAUUCAACUGACUUUUUCAUAUGUUAUCAUUCCUCUAUGCACAGAAUUUAGUGGAAGUCCCCUUGUGCUUGUGUUGGAGGCUCCAGUUCAAGUGGACCUUGACAACGUUGCUGUCAAGCCAGGCCUCCCCAUCUGUGCUGGGACUGGAGCUGGUGCACCCCAGCUCUCUCCUGCCAGGUUAAAUCACCUCCCCCACCCUAAGCAGUGUGCCAGAGUCAAGAGCUUAUCAGGUCAGCUUUGACGUGUCCUGCCCCUUUGCUGGGGCUUUUUGGAUCCAGAACCUUCUAAGACCUGUGCCUUAUAUACACAGUAGGCACCUGGCAUUUUAAACUCUCUUCCUGGACACUCACCACCAAUAACAUUGAGCAGAUUGGGACCAAGAACAGCUCUGUUUUGUGAGACCACCCCUCUGCCAGGUUGACAUUGAUCCAUUAAUGAACAGCACGUUCAACCAUAACUAGUGAGUUAUGAAUCCAAAUAUAUGCCUCCAUUUUGUCUCCAAGGUGACCAUGAGGUGAAUAACCAGAUGCCUUGCUGUAAAUCUUGUCUAUCACAUUUCCUUGUUUUCCCAGGCUAGUGAUCUGUUAAAAGAGGGAGAGAGUUAAUUACCUGACUUGUUCCUAAUAAUCUAGUCUGGUUCCUCACAACGAUUCCCAAGUUUGUUGUUAGUUCUCAGAAGCCAUCAUUUAAAAAAAAAAAAGUUUAUUUCUUGGUAGAAUUGAGCUCUAAAUCAAAGUCUAGCCCAUGUGGAUUCUACCUUCUCUAUGUUAGGAUUAAAUGAGGCUAAAAGAGAAAGGCAAACACAGUCAAGGUAUAUUAUUAUUUGAGCUUGCCUUGAAAAUUAUUAUUGUUGUUUUACUCAGUAGCUUGCUUUUUAGUGGUAACAACCAGAAAAUGACUUAUUAAAAAAAAAAAUUCUGGAGCCCCAGGGCUGAUUUUGCAUCUAGCACAGUAUUAUUUUAGUGCCACCCAGAGGCAAACAUCAUGUACAGCAGACAGGAGGAAAUAGAAAAGUCAUAAACAUUCUAAAUUUUAGUUAAGCAACACCGAGAUAAUAACUUGCUCCUUUUUGCUGGUCUGUCCCCAAGCCAUGUAUUCCAGUUGUAAACAUCCAAUCAUUCAACAACCCUACGAAAUAGGUACUACUGUUACCAACUUACAAAUUGAGAAAC